CCGCAACUUCUCCUCCGUUGUUCAGCCGUUGACUUCUCUAACUAGUCCCAAAGUCGAAUUUGAUUGGUCCCCUGCCUGUCAGCAUGCGUUUGACAGCGCAAAGUCCCUCCUUAGCCACGCCCCUGUCCUUGCAGCUCCUGACUUCUCCCAGCCGUUCAAACUUGAGGUAGAUGCCUCUGCAGUAGGUGUCGGGGCUGUCCUGUUGCAGGAGGAUAGUGAUGGAGUUGACCAUCCAGUAGGAUAUUUUUCCCGCAAAUUUAACAAGCAUCAGGUGAACUACUCAAUCAUAGAAAAAGAAACCCUUGCUUUGUUAUGGUCACUUCAACACUUUGAAGUAUAUGUAGGUUCCAGCCCUCUGCCAGUGGUGGUCUUCACUGACCACAACCCACUCGUCUUUCUGCAUCGUAUGUAUAACCACAACCAAAGGCUUAUGCGGUGGGCACUGGUCAUGCAGGAUUACAAUGUGGAGAUCCAGCACAAAAAGGGGUCUGACAAUGUUGUAGCAGAUGCGUUGUCCAGAAUGUAAUGUUGACUUUGUUAACCCUUGUGGUUGUUUUGUUUAUGACAAACCUCAUUAGGAGGGUUUGCCUCUUAAGGGGAGGGGUGUUACGGCCGCCGCCUUAGUGUGGCGAGUCUUGGGUCUUCCUCUCUCUGUGUGUGUGUGCGUGUGUGAGAGUGCGUGUGUGUGCAUGCUGCCUGCAGUUCACAGGUUGCCGUGGCUGCGGAUCAAUCAAGUGCCUGAUCACUGUCCAAAACCUUUGUAGGAACUCUUUUCUGACCUUUUGGAGUUAGUUAGACCAAAAAAAAGAUAAAUGAAAAAAAAAUAUUUGGGGUGUUCGGGCUUCCUGAAGGUAAUACCCGGGUAUUAGGUUUUGGGGCUAGGGUUAGGUUUAAGGUUUUUGGCGUUAGGGUUAAAAUAACUGUCCAAUAUUUUUUAAGGAACAUGUUUCAGACCUUUGGGAGUUAGUUAGACAAAAAAAUAAGAAAAAGAAAAAAAAAAUAUUUGGGGUGUUCGGGUUUCCUGAAGGUAAUACCCGGGUAUUAGGUUAUGGGGCUAGGGUAAGGUUUAAGGUUUUUGGCGUUAGAGUUAAAAUCAGUGUCCAAAACCUUUUUAGGAACAUGUUUAAGACCUUUUGGAGUUGGUUACACCAAAAAAAAAAUGUAAAAUGCAAAAACAAAAUAUUUGGGGUUUUUGGGCUUCCUGAAGGUAAUACCCCGGUAUUAGGUUUUGGGGCUAGGGUUAGGUUUAAGGUAUUUGGCGUUAGAGUCAAAAUCACUGUCCAAAACCUUUGUAGGAACUCUUUUCCAACCUUUUGGUGUUAGUUAGACCAAAAAAAAACGAAAAAUGAAAAAAAAAUAUUUGGGGUUUUUGGGCUUCCUGAAGGUAAUACCCGGGUAUUAGGUUAUGGGGCUUUGGAAAGGUUUAAGGUUUUUGGCGUGAGGGUUAAAAUCACUGUCCAAAACCUUUGUAGGAAGUCUUUUCCAACCUUUUGGAGUUAGUUAGACCAAUAAAAAAAUGAAAAAUGAAAAAAAAAAAUUUGGGGUGUUCGGGCUUCCUGAAGGUAUUAGGUUUUGGGGCUAGGGUAAGGUUUAAGGUUUUUGGCGUUAGGGUUAAACUCACUAUCCAAUAUUUUUUAAGGAACAUGUUUCAGACCUUUUGGAGUUAGUUAGACCAAAAAAAAGAAAAAAGAAAAAAAAAUAUUUGGGGUUUUCGGGCUUCCUGAAGGUAUUAGGUUUUGGGGCUAGGGUAAGGUUUAAGGUUUUUGGCGUUAGGGUUAAAAUCACUGUCCAAAACCUUUUAAGGAACAAGAUUCAGACCUUUUGGAGUUGGUUACACCAAAAAAAAAAUGAAAAAUGAAAAAAAAAAUAUUUGGGGUGUUCGGGCUUCCUGAAGGUAAUACCCUUCAGGUUUAAGUAUUAGGUUAUGGGGCUAGGAUUAGGUUUAAUGUUUUUGGCGUUAGGGUUAAAAUCACUGUCCAAUAUUUUUAAGGAACAUGUUUCAGACCUUUUGGAGCUAGUUUGACCAAAAAAAAAGAAAAAUAAAAAAUAUAUAUUUGGGGUGUUCGGGCUUCCUGAAGGUAAUACCGGGGUAUUAGGUUAUGGGGCUAGGGUAAGGUUUAAGGUUUUUGGCGUUAGAGUUAAAAUCAGUGUCCAAAACCUUUUUAGGAACAUGUUUAAGACCUUUUGGAGUUGGUUACACCAAAAAAAAAUGUAAAAUGAAAAAAAAAAAUUUAGGGGUGUUCGGGCUUCCUGAAGGUAAUACCCGGGUAUUAGGUUUUGGGGCUAGGGUAAGGUUUAAGGUUUUUGGUGUUAGGGUUAAAAUCACUGUCCAAAACCUUCGUAGGAACUCUUUUCUGACCUUUUGGAGUUAGUUAGACCAAAAAAAAAGAAAAAAGAAAAAAAUAUAUUUGGGGUGUUCGGGCUUCCUGAAGGUAAUACCCGGGUAUGAGGUUAUGGGGCUAGGGUAAGGUUUAAGGUUUUUGGUGUUAGGGUUAAAAUCACUGUCCAAAACCUUUUUAGGAACAUGUUUCAGACCUUUUGGAGUUGGUAACACCAAAAAUAAAUGUAAAAUGAAAAAAAAAUAUUUGGGGUGUUCGGGUUCCCUGAAGGUAAUACCCGGGUAUUAGGUUUUGGGGCUAGGGUUAGGUUUAAGGUUUUUGGCGUUAGGGUUAAAAUCACUGUCCAAAACCUUUUAAGGAACAUGUUUCAGACCUUUGGGAGUUAGUUAGACAAAAAAAUAAGAAAAAGAAAAAAAUAUAUUUUGGGUGUUCGGGUUUCCUGAAGGUAAUACCCGGGUAUUAGGUUUUGGGGCUAGGGUUAGGUUUAAGGUUUUUGGCGUUAGGGUUAAAAUCACUGUCCAAAACCUUUUUAGGAACAUGUUUCAGACCUUUUGGAGUUGGUUACACCAAAAAAAAAUGUAUAAUGAAAAAAAAAAAAUUUAGGGGUGUUCGGGCUUCCUGAAGGUAAUACCCGGGUAUUAGGUUUUGGGGCUAGGGUAAGGUUUAAGGUUUUUGGUGUUAGGGUUAAAAUCACUGUCCAAAACCUUUGUAGGAACUCUUUUCUGACCUUUUGGAGUUAGUUAGACCAAAAAAAAAAGAAAAAAGAAAAAAAUAUAUUUGGGGUGUUCGGGCUUCCUGAAGGUAAUACCCGGGUAUGAGGUUAUGGGGCUAGGGUAAGGUUUAAGGUUUUUGGUGUUAGGGUUAAAAUCACUGUCCAAAACCUUUUUAGGAACAUGUUUCAGACCUUUUGGAGUUGGUAACACCAAAAAUAAAUGUAAAAUGAAAAAAAAAUAUUUGGGGUGUUCGGGUUCCCUGAAGGUAAUACCCGGGUAUUAGGUUUUGGGGCUAGGGUAAGGUUUAAGGUUUUUGACGUUAGGGUUAAAAUCACUGUCCAAAACCUUUUAAGGAACAAGAUUCAGACCUUUUGGAGUUGGUUACACCAAAAAAAAUGUAAAAUGAAAAAAAAUAUAUUUUGGGUGUUCGGGCUUCCUGAAGGUAAUACCCUUCAGGUUUAAGUAUUAGGUUAUGGGGCUAGGAUUAGGUUUAAGGUUUUUGGCGUAAGGGUUAAAAUCACUGUCCAAUAUUUUUUAAGGAACAUGUUUCAGACCUUUUGGAGCUAGUUUGACCAAAAAAAAAAAAAGAAAAAGAAAAAAUAUAUAUUUGGGGUGUUCGGGCUUCCUGAAGGUAAUACUAGGUUUCUGGGCUAGGGUAAUGUUUAAGGUUUUUGGCGUUAGGGUUAAAAUCAAUGUCCAAAACCUUUGUAGGAACUCUUUUCCAACCUUUGAGAGCAAGUUAGACCAAAACAAAAAGAAAAAAAUAUAUAUAUAUUUGGGGUGUUCGGGCUUCCUGAAGGUAAUACCCGGGUAUUAGGUUAUGGGGCUAGGGUAAGGUUUAAGGUUUUUCGGCGUGAGGGUAAAAAUCACUGUCCAAAACCUUUGUAGGAACUCUUUUCCAACCUUUGGGAAUUAGUUAGACAAAAAAAAGAUAAAUGAAAAAAAAAUAUUUGGGGUGUUCGGGCUUCCUGAAGGUAAUACCCGGGUAUUAGGUUUUGGGGCUAGGGUUAGGUUUAAGGUUUUUGGCGUUAGGGUUAAAAUAACUGUCCAAUAUUUUUUAAGGAACAUGUUUCAGACCUUUGGGAGUUAGUUAGACAAAAAAAUAAGAAAAAGAAAAAAAAAAUAUUUGGGGUGUUCGGGUUUCCUGAAGGUAAUACCCGGGUAUUAGGUUAUGGGGCUAGGGUAAGGUUUAAGGUUUUUGGCGUUAGAGUUAAAAUCAGUGUCCAAAACCUUUUUAGGAACAUGUUUAAGACCUUUUUGAGUUGGUUACACCAAAAAAAAAUGUAAAAUGCAAAAAAAAAAUAUUUGGGGUUUUUGGGCUUCCUGAAGGUAAUACCCGGGUAUUAGGUUUUGGGGCUAGGGUUAGGUUUAAGGUAUUUGGCGUUAGGGUUAAAAUCACUGUCCAAAACCUUUUUAGGAACAUGUUUCAGACCUUUUGGAGUUGGUUACACCAAAAAAAAAUGUAAAAUGAAAAAAAAAUAUUUGGGGUGUUCAAGCUUCCUGAAGGUAAUACCCGGGUAUUAGGUUAUGGGGCUAGGGUAAGGUUAAAGGUUUUUGGCGUUAGGGUUAAAAUCAGUGUCCAAAAACUUUUUAGGAACAUGUUUAAGACCUUUUGGAGUUGGUUACACCAAAAAAAAAUGUAAAAUGAAAAAAAUAUAUAUUUGGGGUGUUCGGGCUUCCUGAAGGUAAUACCCGGGUAUUAGGUAAUGGGGCUAGGGUAAGGUUUAAGGUUUUUGGCGUGAGGGUUAAAAUCACUGUCCAAAACCUUUGUAGGAAGUCUUUUCCAACCUUUUGGAGUUAGUUAGACAAAAAAAAAAAGAUAAAUGAAAAAAAAAUAUUUGGGGUGUUCGGGCUUCCUGAAGGUAAUACCCGGGUAUUAGG
rnacentral:lncRNA from 1 species